rnacentral:rRNA from 1 species
UUGGCUUAGAAGCAGCCAUCCUUGAAAGAGUGCGUAAUAGCUCACUGGUCAAGUGGUUCCGCGCCGACAAUGUAGCGGGGCUUAAGCACACCGCCGACGCCGCGGCAGUCCAUCGUGGUCCUAGCCUGUCCGUUGGGCGGGUUCAGGGGGUGGGCUGGGUAGGGGAGCGUCCCGCGUUGGGUGAAGUCUCGGGGUGACCCGGGGUGGACGGCGUGGGAGUGAGAAUGCAGGCAUGAGUAGCGAGAGGCGGGUGAGAAACCCGUCCGCUGAUUGACUAAGGGUUCCAGGGCCAGGUUGAUCCGCCCUGGGUUAGUCGGGUCCUAAGGCGAGGCCGACGGGCGUAGUCGAUGGACAACGGGUUGAUAUUCCCGUACCGGCGCUUGACCGUUCAAUGUUCGCCGGGGUGAUGCUAACCAUCCCCGAUCCUGUGUGUCUCUUUCGGGAGGCGUGUGGGGGAGGGCGUGGGGUCCGAGCCUGGGUGGGCAAGCGUGGUAACAGGUGUGACGCAGAGUGGUAGUCCAACCGUGUCGUAUGGCUGAGCACGGCUAAGGGUGCAGCCCGUCUCCCAGGUAAAUCCGGGGGGCGUUCGGGUCAGGCCUGAUGGGGACCGUUUGACGGGAAGUGGAUGAUCCUGUGCUGCCGAGAAAAGCAUCGACGUCAGGGCAAGCGCCGCCCGUACCCGAAACCGACACAGGUGGUCAGGUAGAGUAUACCGAGGCGUGCGAGUUAAUCGUGGUUAAGGAACUCGGCAAAAUGCCCCCGUAACUUCGGGAGAAGGGGGGCCCGGGCCUUGAUGUCCCCGUGCGGGGCGGAAGGGGCGCGGGCCGCAGAGUCCAGGGAGAAGCGACUGUUUAUCAAAAACACAGGUGCGUGCUAAGCCGCAAGGCGAUGUAUACGCACUGACGCCUGCCCGGUGCUGGAAGGUUAAGCGGACUGGUCAGCCCUUCGGGGUGAAGCUGGGAAGUUAAGCCCCAGUAAACGGCGGUGGUAACUAUAACCAUCCUAAGGUAGCGAAAUUCCUUGUCGGGUAAGUUCCGACCUGCACGAAUGGCGUAACGACUUCCCCGCUGUCUCCACCAUGAGCUCGGCGAAAUUGCAGUACGAGUAAAGAUGCUCGUUUCGCGCAGAAGGACGGAAAGACCCCGGGACCUUUACUAUAGCUUGGUAUUGGCGCCCGCUAUGGCUUGUGCAGGAUAGGUGGGAGACUGUGAGGCCAUCACGCCAGUGGUGGUGGAGUCGUCGUUGAAAUACCACUCUGGCCAUGGCGUGCGCCUGAACCUGGGCCCGUGAUCCGGGUCAGGGACAGUGCCUGGUGGGUAGUUUAACUGGGGCGGUUGCCUCCUAAAGUGUAACGGAGGCGCUCAAAGGUCCCCUCAGCCUGGUCGGCAACCAGGUGUUGAGUGCAAGUGCACAAGGGGGCUUGACUGCGAGACCGACGGGUCGAGCAGGUGCGAAAGCAGGAACUAGUGAUCCGGCGAUCCCGUGUGGGUGGGUCGUCGCUCAACGGAUAAAAGGUACCCCGGGGAUAACAGGCUGAUCCUGCCCAAGAGUCCAUAUCGACGGCAUGGUUUGGCACCUCGAUGUCGGCUCGUCGCAUCCUGGGGCUGGAGUAGGUCCCAAGGGUUGGGCUGUUCGCCCAUUAAAGCGGUACGCGAGCUGGGUUCAGAACGUCGUGAGACAGUUCGGUCCCUAUCCGCUGCGCGCGCAGGAGAAUUGAGAAGGGCUGUCCCCAGUACGAGAGGACCGGGACGGACGAACCUCUGGUGUGCCAGUUGUUCCGCCAGGAGCACGGCUGGUUGGCUACGUUCGGGAGGGAUAACCGCUGAAAGCAUCUAAGCGGGAAGCCUGCUUCAAGAUAAGUUCUCCAUCCAGCCUGUGU